CAUGGCUCAGGAUAAACGCUGGCGGCGUGCAUAACACAUCAAGUCGAACGGACGAGUGCCUUCGGGCACAAGUUAGUGGCGGACGGGUGAGUAACGCGUGAGCAACCUGCCUCUGUGAGCGGAAUAACAUUGGGAAACCGGUGCUAAUACCGCAUGAAAUAUUUUGAGGGCAUCCUUAGGAUAUCAAAGGAGCAAUCCGCACAGAGAUGGGCUCGCGUCUGAUUAGGCAGUUGGUGAGGUAACGGCUCACCAAACCGACGAUCAGUAGCCGGACUGAGAGGUUGAACGGCCACAUUGGAACUGAGAAACGGUCCAGACUCCUACGGGAGGCAGCAGUGGGGAAUAUUGGGCAAUGGAGGAAAAACUCUGACCCAGCGACGUCGCGUGAAGGAAGAAGGUCUUCGGAUUGUAAACUUUUGUCAACAGGGAAGAAGCAAGUGACGGUACCUGAAGAGGAAGCCACGGCUAACUACGUGCCAGCCGCCGC
rnacentral:rRNA from 1 species